AAACUGGCCGGAAUAGGCCAAAACUGCGAGUUUUCAUGAUUUCCCCUUCACCGGACCCCGGGGUUCCCAAAACGUUCGGAUGGCUUUGGGACCCAAAAUCGGUGACUAAUAGCAUACAAAACUGGCCGGAAUAGGCCAAAACUGCGAGUUUUCACGAGUUCCCCGUAACUGGACCCCUUGGUACCCAAAACGUUCGGAUCGCAGCGGGACCCAAUAUGAGUGAGUAAUUCUUACAAAACUCGGCAGUAUAAGCCAAAACUGCGAGUUUUGACGAGUUCCCCGUAACCGGAUCCCGGGGUUCCCAAAACAUUCGUAUCGUAGCGGCAACCAAAAUCAGUGAGUAAU
rnacentral:lncRNA from 1 species